rnacentral:rRNA from 1 species
UACCAGCACCCCGAGUGGUCGGGACGUUUAUUGGGCCUAAAGCAUCCGUAGCCGGUUCUACAAGUCUUCCGUUAAAUCCACCUGCUUAACAGAUGGGCUGCGGAAGAUACUAUGGAGCUGGGAGGCGGGAGAGGCAAGCGGUACUCGAUGGGUAGGGGUAAAAUCCGUUGAUCCAUUGAAGACCACCAGUGGCGAAGGCGGCUUGCCAGAACGCGCUCGACGGUGAGGGAUGAAAGCUGGGGGAGCAAACCGG